rnacentral:tRNA from 1 species
GGGGCCAUAGCUCAGUUGGGAGAGCGCCUGCUUUGCAAGCAGGAGGUCGCCAGUUCGAUCCUGGCUGGCUCCA